rnacentral:rRNA from 1 species
CCUACGGGCGGCAGCAGUGAGGAAUAUUGGUCAAUGGGCGUAAGCCUGAACCAGCCAAGUCGCGUGAGGGAUGAAGGUUCUAUGGAUCGUAAACCUCUUUUAUAAGGGAAUAAAGUGUGGGACGUGUCCUGUUUUGUAUGUACCUUAUGAAUAAGGAUCGGCUAACUCCGUGCCAGCCGCCGCGGUAAUACGGAGGAUCCGAGCGUUAUCCGGAUUUAUUGGGUUUAAAGGGUGAGUCGGCGGCCUUUUAAGUCAGCGGUGAAAGUCUGUGGCUCAACCAUAGAAUUGCCGUUGAUACUGGGAGGCUUGAGUAUGGUUGAGGCAGGCGGAAUGCGAGGUGGAGCGGUGAAAUGCUUAGAUAUCACGCAGAACCCCGAUUGCGAAGGCAGCCUGCCAAGCCAUGACUGACGCUGAUGCACGAAAGCGUGGGGAUCAAACAGGAUUAGAUACCCGUGUAGUC